rnacentral:rRNA from 1 species
CCUACGGGAGGCAGCAGUGAGGAAUAUUGGUCAAUGGACGAGAGUCUGAACCAGCCAAGUAGCGUGAAGGAUGACUGCCCUAUGGGUUGUAAACUUCUUUUAUAUGGGACUAAGAUGUUCCAUGUGUAGGCUUUUGUAUGUACCAUCUGAAUAAGGAUCGGCUAACUCCGUGCCCGCAGCCGCGGUAAUAAGGAGGAUCCGAGCGUUAUCCGGAUUUAUUGGGUUUAAAGGGAGCGUAGGUGGAUGGUUAAGUCAGUUGUGAAAGUUUGCGGCUCAACCGUAAAAUUGCAGUUGAAACUGGCAGUCUUGAGUACAGUAGAGGUGGGCGGAAUUCGUGGUGUAGCGGUGAAAUGCUUAGAUAUCACGAAGAACUCCGAGUGCGAAGGCAGCUCACUGGACUGCAACUGACACUGAGGCUCGAAAGUGUGGGUAUCAAACAGGAUUAGAUACCCUAGUAGUC